GGGGAAUAUUGGACAAUGGGGGCAACCCUGAUCCAGCCAUGCCGCGUGUGUGAAGAAGGCCUUCGGGUUGUAAAGCACUUUAAGCGGGGAGGAAGGCCUGAUGGCUAAUAUCCAUCGGGAUUGACGUUACCCGCAGAUUAAGCACCGGCAAACUUCGUGCCAGCAGCCGCGGUAAUACGAAGGGUGCGAGCGUUAAUCGGAAUUACUGGGCGUAAAGCGCGCGUAGGUGGUUAAGUAAGCGAUCUGUGAAAGCCCCGGGCUUAACCUGGGAACUGCAGGUCGAACUGCUUGGCUAGAGUAUGGUAGAGGGGUGUGGAAUUUCCUGUGUAGCGGUGAAAUGCGUAGAUAUAGGAAGGAACGUCAGUGGCGAAGGCGACACCCUGGACCGAGACUGACACUGAGGCGCGAAAGCGUGGGGAGCAAAC
rnacentral:rRNA from 1 species